UACGAAGGGGGCUAGCGUUGUUCGGAAUUACUGGGCGUAAAGCGCACGUAGGCGGAUUGUUAAGUCAGGGGUGAAAUCCUGGAGCUCAACUCCAGAACUGCCUUUGAUACUGGCGAUCUUGAGUCCGGAAGAGGUGAGUGGAACUCCGAGUGUAGAGGUGAAAUUCGUAGAUAUUCGGAAGAACACCAGUGGCGAAGGCGGCUCACUGGUCCGGUACUGACGCUGUGGUGCGAAAGCGUGGGGAGCAAACAGG
rnacentral:rRNA from 1 species